rnacentral:rRNA from 1 species
UUCGCCCUUUUCCGGUUGAUCCUGCCGGACCCCACUGCUAUCGAGAUGGGACUAAGGUAUGCUAGUCGAACGACCAGAACUAUGUCUGGAAGUGGCACGCUGCUCAGUAACACGUAGCUAACCUACCCUUAGGACGUGGAUACCCCCGAGAAAUUGGGGUUAAUCCGCGAUAGAUGUAAUGUCCUGGAAUGGUAUUACGUCUAAAGGUAUUUCAUACAUGUUUGAAAUAUGCCUAAGGAUGGGGCUGCGGCCGAUCAGGCUGUUGGUGAGGUAAUGGCUCACCAAACCUUUGACCGGUACGGGCCAUGAGAGUGGUAGCCCGGAGAUGGACACUGAGACAAGGGUCCAGGCCCUAAGGGGCGCAGCAACCGCGAAACCUCCACAAUGCACUCACGUGCGAUGGGGCUAUCUCGAGUGCCACCUGAUGAAGGUGGCUUUUCCUAGGUCUUCAAAGCCCUGGGAAUAAGAGGGGGGCAAGACUGGUGUCAGCCGCCGCGGUAACACCAGCCCCUCGAGUGGUGGGGAUGAUUAUUUGGCCUAAAGCGUCCGUAGCCGGCCGAGCAAGUCUUCCGUUAAAUCCAGCGUCUCAAGCGUUGGACCGCGGGAGAUACUACACGGCUAGAGAGUGGGAGAGGUCAGCGGUAUUCUGGGGGUAAGGGCGAAAUCUUUUGAUCCCCGGAGGACCACCAGUGGCGAAGGCUGCUGACUAGAACACGUCUGACGGUCAGGGACGAAAGCUGGGGUAGCGAACCGGAUUAGAUACCCGGGUAGUCCCAGCCGUAAACGAUGCAUGCUAGGUGUUGGGUUGGCCACGAGCCACCCCAGUGCCGCAGGGA